GGCGGGCCAACACAUGCAAGUCGAGCGAGAAAGGGGCUUCGGCCCUGAGUAAAGCGGCGGACGGGUGAGUAACACGUAGGUAAUCUUCCCUUGAGCGGGGGACAACGAUUCGAAAGGAUCGCUAAUACCGCAUAAGUUCACCAGAACCUCGGUUUUGGUGAGGAAAGCUAGGUAGCAAUAUCCGGCACUCGAGGAGGAGCCUGCGUCGCAUCAGCUAGUUGGUGGGGUAAUGGCCUACCAAGGCGAAGACGCGUAGCUGGUCUGAGAGGAUGAUCAGCCACACUGGGACUGAGACACGGCCCAGACUCCUACGGGAGGCAGCAGUGGGGAAUAUAGGACAAUGGGCGCAAGCCUGAUCCAGCCACGCCGCGUGAGUGAUGAAGGCCUUCGGGUCGUAAAGCUCUGUGGGGGGGGACGAACCGCUGGUGGUGCAUAGCGACCAGCAUGACGGAACCACCUUAGCCAGCACCGGCUAACUUCGUGCCAGCAGCCGCAGUAAUACGAACGAUGCAAACGUAGCUCGGAAUCAUCGGGCGU
rnacentral:rRNA from 1 species